CCUACGGGAGGCAGCAGUGGGGAAUAUUGCACAAUGGGGGAAACCCUGAUGCAGCGACGCCGCGUGGGUGAAGAAGGAUUUCGGUUUGUAAAGCUCUGUCAGCAGGGAAGAAAAUGACGGUAUCUGACCAAGAAGCCCCGGCUAACUCCGUGCCAGCAGCCGCGGUAAUACGUAGGGUGCAAGCGUUAUCCGGAUUUACUGGGUGUAAAGGGAGCGUAGACGGCAGGGCAAGUCUGAUGUGAAAGGCGGGGGCUUAACCCUCGGACUGCAUUGGAAACUGGCAGGCUGGAGUGCAGGAGAGGUAAGUGGAAUUCCUAGUGUAGCGGUGAAAUGCGUAGAGAUCAGGAGGAACACCAGUGGCGAAGGCGGCCUACUGGAAUGUAACUGACGUUGAGGCGCGAAAGCGUGGGGAGCAAACAGGAUUAGAUACCCCUGUAGUC
rnacentral:rRNA from 1 species